rnacentral:sRNA from 1 species
CGGAACCGGCCGGCCAUCGCCCGCGGCGCGGCCGGCGGAGGCGGCAGGAACCGACCGGCGCCCUACAGCAGGCCAAAACAACUUCCCGACAAGUGGCAGCACGAUCUUUUCGACAGUGGCUUCGGGGGUGGUGCCGGCGUGGAGACAGGUGGGAAACUGCUGGUGUCCAAUCUGGAUUUUGGAGUCUCAGACGCCGAUAUUCAGGAACUCUUUGCUGAAUUUGGAACGCUGAAAAAGGCGGCUGUACACUAUGAUCGCUCUGGUCGCAGCUUAGGAACAGCAGACGUGCACUUUGAGCGGAAGGCAGAUGCCCUGAAGGCCAUGAAGCAGUACAACGGCGUCCCUCUGGAUGCAAGCUACAUCCCUCCCCUCCUUCAGCUCCUUCCGGAAGAUUCACUUCUGUGAAGCCUUCUCAGAACCGCCAUAGUACACCUCUGAGUG